UAAGGAAUAUUGGUCAAUGGAGGGAACUCUGAACCAGCCAUGCCGCGUGCAGGAAGACGGCCCUCUGGGUUGUAAACCGCUUUUAUUCGGGAAUAAACCUAUUUACGCGUAAAUAGCUGAAUGUACCGAAGGAAUAAGGAUCGGCUAACUCCGUGCCAGCAGCCGCGGUAAUACGGAGGAUCCAAGCGUUGUCCGGAUUUAUUGGGUUUAAAGGGUGCGUAGGCGGCUUAUUAAGUCAGGGGUGAAAGACGGUGGCUCAACCAUCGCAGUGCCCUUGAUACUGAUGAGCUUGAAUGGACUAGAGGUAGGCGGAAUGUGACAAGUAGCGGUGAAAUGCAUAGGUAUGUCACAGGACACCGAUUGCGACGGCCGCUUACUAUGGUUUAAUUGACGCUGAGGCACGAAAGCGUGAGGAUCAAAC
rnacentral:rRNA from 1 species